rnacentral:rRNA from 1 species
AUUAAGCUCUCUUCGGANAGUGCAUAAAGUGGCGCACNNNNNNGUAACACGUAAGUAACCUACCUCUGAGUGGGGAAUAACGUCCGGAAACGGACGCUAAUACCGCAUAAUGCAGCGGCACCGCAAGGUGACAGUUGUUAAAGAUUUAUCGCUUGGAGAGGAGCUUGCGGCAGAUUAGCUAGUUGGUAAGGUAAUGNCUUACCAAGGCAACGAUCUGUAGCCGGUCUAAGAGGACGGUCGGUCACACUGACACUGAAUAACGGGUCAGACUCCUACGGGAGGCAACAGUCGGGAAUUUUGGGCAAUGGGCGAAAGCCUGACCCAGCAACGCCGCGUGAAGGAUGAAGUAUUUCGGUAUGUAAACUUCGAAAGAAUGGGAAGAAUCAAUGACGGUACCAUUUAUAAGGUCCGGCUAACUACGUGCCAGCAGCCGCGGUAAUACGUAGGGACCAAGCGUUGUUCGGAUUUACUGGGCGUAAAGGGCGCGUAGGCGGCAUGACAAGUCACUUGUGAAAUCUCUGGGCUUANCCCAGAACGGCCAAGUGAUACUGUCGCGCUAGAGUGCGGAAGGGGCAAUCGGAAUUCUNGNUGUAGCGGUGAAAUGNNNAGAUAUCAAGAGGAACACCUGANGNGAANANNGGUUGCUG